AUUGAACGCUGGCGGCAGGCCUAACACCUGCAAGUCGAACGAGUGGCGGACGGGUGAGUAAUGUCUGGGAAACUGCCUGAUGGAGGGGGAUCACUACUGGAAACGGUAGCUAAUACCGCAUACCAUCAGAUCUGCCCAGAUGGGAUUAGCUAGUUGGUGGGGUAACGGCUCACCUCGGCGACGAUCCCUAGCUGGUCUGAGAGGAUGACCGGCCACACUGGAACUGAGGCACGGUCCAGACUCUGACGGGAGGCAGCAGUGGGGAAUAUUGCACAAUGGGCGCAAGCCGGAUGCAGCCAUGCCGCGUGUAUGAAGAAGGCCUUCGGGUUGUAAAGUACUUUCAGCGGGGAGGCGUUACCCGCAGAAGAAGCACCGGCAAAAGACGGGCCAGCAGCCGCGGUAAUUC
rnacentral:rRNA from 1 species